rnacentral:rRNA from 1 species
UACGGGGGGUGCGAGCGUCGUCCGGAAUCACUGGGCGUAAAGGGCGCGUAGGUGGUUUGAUAAGGGUGUGGUGAAAGUCCGGAGCUCAACUCCGGAUCUGCCGUGCCGACUGUCAAACUCGAGGGCUGUAGAGGCAGACGGAAUUCCGGGUGUAGCGGUGGAAUGCGUAGAGAUCCGGAGGAAGACCGGUGGCGAAGGCGGUCUGCUGGGCAGUAGCUGACACUGAGGCGCGACAGCGUGGGGAGCAAACAGG